UACGGAGGGUGCAAGCGUUGUUCGGAAUUACUGGGCGUAAAGGGCGCGCAGGCGGCUUGAUAAGUUAGAUGUGAAAGCCCACGGCUUAACCGUGGAAGUGCAUUUAAAACUGUCAAGCUUGAGUAUCAGAGGGGAAAGUGGAAUUCCUGGUGUAGAGGUGAAAUUCGUAGAUAUCAGGAGGAAUACCAGUGGCGAAGGCGACUUUCUGGCUGAAUACUGACGCUGAGGCGCGAAAGCGUGGGGAGCAAACAGG
rnacentral:rRNA from 1 species